rnacentral:rRNA from 1 species
UACGUAGGGGGCAAGCGUUGUCCGGAUUUAUUGGGCGUAAAGAGCGUGUAGGCGGCUUUGCAAGUCCGUUGUGAAAACUCGAGGCUCAACCUCGAGACGUCGAUGGAAACCAUCUGGCUAGAGUCCGGAAGAGGAGAGUGGAAUUCCUGGUGUAGCGGUGAAAUGCGCAGAUAUCAGGAAGAACACCCGUGGCGAAGGCGGCUCUCUGGGACGGUACUGACGCUGAGACGCGAAAGCGUGGGGAGCGAACAGG